CAAUAGCGUAUAUUAAAGUUGUUGCAGUUAAAAAGCUCGUAGUUGAACUUCAGAUUUGGCCGAAUGGUCUGCCUAACGGUAUGUACUGUCUGGCUGAGUCUUACUUCUUGGUGAGCCAGUAUGCCCUUCAUUGGGUGUGCUGGGGAACCAGGACUUUUACCUUGAGAAAAUUAGAGUGUUCAAAGCAGGCCUAUGCCCGAAUACAUUAGCAUGGAAUAAUAAAAUAGGACGUGUGGUUCUAUUUUGUUGGUUUCUAGAAUCGCCGUAAUGAUUAAUAGGGAUAGUUGGGGGCAUUAGUAUUCAGUUGCUAGAGGUGAAAUUCUUGGAUUUACUGAAGACUAACUACUGCGAAAGCAUUUGCCAAGGAUGUUUUCAUUAA
rnacentral:rRNA from 1 species